UACAGAGGGGGCAAGCGUUGUUCGGAAUUACUGGGCGUAAAGGGCGCGUAGGCGGCUUGGUAAGUCGGGGGUGAAAGUCAGCGGCUCAACCGCUGGACUGCCUUCGAGACUGCCUGGCUUGAGCAUGGUAGAGGCUGGCGGAAUUCCCGGUGUAGCGGUGGAAUGCGUAGAGAUCGGGAAGAACAUCGGUGGCGAAGGCGGCCAGCUGGGCCAUUGCUGACGCUGAGGCGCGACAGCGUGGGGAGCAAACAGG
rnacentral:rRNA from 1 species